rnacentral:rRNA from 1 species
UACAGAGGGUGCGAGCGUUAAUCGGAAUUACUGGGCGUAAAGCGUGCGUAGACGGUCAUGUAAGUCGGAUGUGAAAGCCCCGGGCUCAACCUGGGAAUUGCAUUCGAGACUGCAUGGCUUGGGUGCGGAAGAGGGAAGCGGAAUUUCCGGUGUAGCGGUGAAAUGCGUAGAGAUCGGGAGGAACACCAGUGGCGAAGGCGGCUACCUGGACCAGCAUUGACACUCAAGCACGAAAGCGUGGGGAGCAAACAGG